UUGAGUUAAAAGAUAUUUGGUAUGUUAACAGACAAUAAUAAAAGUUGUCGCUCACUUUGCGGUUGGGAUUAAUUACGAAUCAAAAAUGUGUAUAUCGUAGGUGAGAAUGUGAAGAAAUUUACAUUCGAAUGAAUGAAUAGUUUUGAACUAUGAACAUGAGUCUUUUAGUGGCUGUAUCUUAUACGGAUUUUUAUUUCGGACAAAUUUUGGACAAAGAAAGUGUUGGCGUGUUGUACCCAAACCGAUGGGUAAAACUAUUUUGUACAAUCAUGGUACCACACAAAAGAGUAUAUAAGUGCCUUCGGAGCAGAGUGUUCUUAAUCUCAUAAGAACAAAAUACAGCGUUUGGAGUUGACGACUAAUAUUAACGGAGGCAAUAUGAACACUUGGUAUAUAAUCAACGUUUUCGUAGUCUUUGCCAUGAACGUUGCUCAAGGUGCACCAUCGUAUUGCAAAUGUCAUAUGUUCGUGCCGAAACGGUUUGUAGGAAUGCGAAUAUCUACAGGGGAUAGCGAAUUGGAAAUGAAGACGCCUUGUGUUCGCGGAUCCUCCUGUCAAGAACUGCGAUUGUGUUUGCCUUGGUCAACCAAUCAGAUAGCUAUGGAGAAUUUGGAAUGCUGCUGUCGACCAGAGCCUGGACAUUAUCGUACACGUGACCUUGAUAUGUACCGCUCUGAUGGCACCAUAUACUUCAACGAAGUACAGAAAUGUCAACCAGUGGAAUGUGGAAGAUUUUAAUAAGAAGAAAUGCCGUUUCAUAUCUUAAUAACUCAAUCUUGGAAACGUUUAUCAAACAUUGACAGGAAAGGCUCAUGAUUAUUCCAUGUCAUCACUGAUAAUCGGUGAAUUUAGAUGUUUAUUCUUAUCUCAGCUUUAUAUCAAACGGAAAGUGAGAUGUGUAGAAUGAAUAACAAAGUGCAUGUGUACUUAUUUCGGAAUGCCUUAAUGGUAACUUUAACGGCGUGAUGUUAAAAACUUAAAUGAAAAUGGAUGUUUUUGGCAGCAACAUAUAUUUCUUAAGUUUCAUAACAUAAUUUACAUUAGUCAGGUUGAAGUCGUCAAAAACUUAGUUUUACAACUUACUCUUAAUCUUUAUCAAGUGACUUUAUUUGACUGACUCUGAUUUCACAAUUUAUUUAUCUCAUCCGUUUCAUGCAUUUAAGUGUUCAUUAACAUUGUUUAGUUUUAGUUUUAAUAAGAUCACCUUUACAUACAAAUGUUUACACUUUUGUGUAUUGUCAUGAUGUUCAUAUUAUACAUAUGAUCCUUAUAUGAACUAUUUAUAAUUUAUACAA